rnacentral:rRNA from 1 species
UUGGGAAUCUUGGGAAUGGGCGCAAGCCUGACCCAGCGACGCCGCGUGAGCGAUGAAGGCCUUCGGGUUGUAAAGCUCUGUCAUCUGGGAAGCGGUACCAGGGAAGGAAGCCCCGGCUAACUACGUGCCAGCAGCCGCGGUAAGACGUAGGGGGCGAGCGUUGUCCGGAAUUACUGGGCGUAAAGGGCGUGUAGGCGGCUUGUUAAGUCGAGUGUGAAAGCUCGCGGCUCAACCGCGAAACGGCGCUUGAAACUGGCAGGCUUGAGGGUGGGAGAGGAGAGCGGAUUUCCCGGUGUAGCGGUGAAAUGCGUAGAUAUCGGGAGGAACACCAGUGGCGAAGGCGGCUCUCUGGACCAUUACUGACGCUGAGGCGCGAAAGCUAGGGGAGCGAACGGGAUUAGAUACCCUUGUAGU